rnacentral:lncRNA from 1 species
GGCAGAAGUCAUGCUCAGCCUCCGCUUGCCCGGUGGUGAGGGUGGAAUAUGAAGCAAACAAUAAAGAUAAUUCAUCAUCUCUAUCAGGAAAAUUGCCACAUGUUUAUUUCAGGUAACAAAAAAGAUAUAGUUAUGAUAUACAAUGACCAUAGAAUCCAAUAAAGCAACUUCUGCAAAUGAAUAGAAGGUACUUUUUCUUUAAAUGAAACUACAAAAUAGCAGCUGGUUUUAAAAACAAAGCCAAUUGUUUUAGAUUUAAUAGGCUACCACUGGCCUCUGCUAAGAUCCCCAAAUAUAUUCCUGAGCUCACAUAGAUUCCAGAAAGUCAAACUUUUCAAUAUUAUGCAAACUUUCCCUAUGCAUCCAAAAAAUUCUCAUUUAGUAAAGAGGUGAUAUGAAAUGUAAGGCAGCAUGUCCAUAUCUAUCAUUUUAAAUUGCCUUCAUGCUGUAUCAACUGGUUUUGUUUUGGGAAGCAACCAUAAUAUUGAGAGACGGGUCUUUCCUAUUUUUUCUGCUACUCAUUUCUAACUAGAUUCACUACGGAGCUCCCAAUUGCAUCUCUCUGAUCUACAAAUUUUUCUCUCUUCAGGAAGACACCUGGAAAGAAGGGACUACAUUAAAGGAGUGUGUUGGGGGCAAUGCUUUGGCCUUUUGACAUCCUAUCUAGUCUGAAGGGACCCUCACUAUUGCUAAGGAGGAGGAGUGUUUUAAAUGGAGGCUUCAGAAUGAAAGCAGAGGAAGAAGGUACUCUCUUUUUCAAAAAGAAGGAGGGUACAGGCCGGGCGCAGUGGCUCACGCCUGCAAUCCCAGCACUUUGGGAGGCCGAGGAAGGCAGAUCACGAGGUUGGGAGUUUGAGACCAGCCUGGUCAACAUAGUGAAACCCCGUCUCUACUAAAAAUACAAAAAUUAGCCAGGCAUGGUGGUGCAUGCCUGUAGUCCCAGUUACUCGGGAGGCUGAGGCAGGAGAAUCGCUUGAACUCGGGAAGUGGAGGUUGCAGUGAGCCGAGAUCAUGCCACUGCACUCCACCCUGGGUGACAGAGUGAGACUCUCAAAAAAAAAAAAAAAAAAAAAAAGAAGUAGGGUACCAAGUCAUCCACAAGGCUGUGGGAAAACAACAAAGCCAAGAGGGCACCCCAUUUUUUUGGAGUGAAAACCAACAGGGGCAAAGGCAUGCUGUAAUUUUAAAGAGACAGAGAAGAUCACCUCAGUGAGUAAGCAGCUGGUCUUUGUCAUUCCUUAAAGAGGAGACAGAACUUUUCAUGCCAUAUCGUGAACCGGGGUGCAAAGGCUCCCGGUAGGAAUAACACAUCAAAAAAUUUACUCCAACAUGUGAAUAAUUGAUAGCAGAGCCCUUUUCUAGCACUUUGCAUCGUGAUGGUGGUGCAUGUUUGGGAGGGAGGUCACAGAAGAGGAGCAACGAUGGGCAAACUAAUUUAGCUUGCUUAAGAUUGCCAAAAGCUGGGAGGGUCCAGCCGGCAUUGAGCUGAGGCCAUCAGGAGCCUCCCAGCUAGAGAGGCUUUGGGAAUAGCUGUGGGAGCAAGAGAAGGAACGGGGAGGGGAGAAGAAGGUGGGCAGAGAAGGUGUGGAAGGAGGAAGAGCAAGAGUGAGGGAUGAGAAAUGCCUGGUUUACAAAAACCAAUCCACUUCUACAGGCCUUAAUCAAAAGAAAGACAAACGCUCAUGUAAAAAUCCACACCUAGAGGCUCUCAGGCACAGAGCGAUCACAGGAGAGGCAGAGUGUGCAAACAAGCUUUCAUUAAGAGACCUGUCAGCUCUGUUUCAUUUCUCCAGGCUGCUCUGCAUUCUGCUGGCAAUCCAGCCGGAAAAAUAAUGGAAGGACAAACACGUCUGAACAGGCAAACAAAGGUGGGAACAUUCCACCUACAGAACAGGACAGAUCAGAAAGAUGCCAGGGAGGGGGGAUGAGAUGGCUUUUUUCUGAGCAAACAACCAUAGCCCCUCCCCUUAACUCCAAACUCAUCGGAAACAUGAUUUUCUGGCUUUUUAUGCAGCAACAAAAAGACAUGGGGUUCAGAGACAGCACCAUUGGUUGUCUAUUCCCAACUCUCUUACACAUCCCAAGAUAUGAUUCUGUUUUGGUGUUCAGCCUUUUAGAGUCUGAAUGUCUAGCGACAGGGCCCUUCUUCAGUUCUUAAGGGUGAAUCUUGGUGAACCUAAACAGAUCAUGGUAAUACCAUCUCCCUUGCUAAGAAAUGGUUAAGACAUUGCCAUGUGACAUCAUCAUGUGACAAGGUCUCAUGCGACCACAAGCCCCAGGUGAUCAUUCUGACCAAUAAAAUGUGAUAGGAACUGGGUUUCUCGCUCUUGAAACACACACACACACGUAUGUGGGAAGAAACUUCCUUCUGCCUUUGAACAGGUGUUAUCUGGAGCUGUUGCAGCCACCUCGUUAUCAUGAGAAAGCAGCUGACACAGCAGGAAGAGCAGGAAGAUGGAAACCUAGAACCUUGACAACUUUCUUGAAUGUAUAGCCCUGGAAUGCCUUACUUUCGAAGUUCCUGUUAUACAACAUAAUUCAUUUCCCUACCGCUUAAGUUUCUGUUAAGUGUGGCUUGAAGCUGAGAGGACCAUGACUGAUGCAGGGUUAUCUAGUGAAGUAGGGGACAGAAUGCCACAACCUUAAACUUUGAUCCUAAAAAAGACAAAAGACAGCUGUAAGUAAUUGCAGAAAGCCCCUUUAAUGUCUGUGGAACAGAAGAACCAUGUUGGAUGGGGAAAGCAGGGGCAGGACACACGUGUCGCGUAUCUAUGGGGUGUUAUCACUCCUUAUGACUCCUGCU